rnacentral:rRNA from 1 species
UACGUAGGGUGCAAGCGUUGUCCGGAAUUAUUGGGCGUAAAGAGCUCGUAGGCGGUCUGUCGCGUCGGAUGUGAAAAUCCAGGGCUCAACCCUGGACCUGCAUUCGAUACGGGCAGACUAGAGUUCGGUAGGGGAGACUGGAAUUCCUGGUGUAGCGGUGAAAUGCGCAGAUAUCAGGAGGAACACCCGUGGCUAAGGCGGUUCUCUAGUACGGUACUGACGCUGAGACGCGAAAGCGUGGGGAGCGAACAGG